rnacentral:rRNA from 1 species
UUCCAGACUCCUACGGGAGGCAGCAGUGGGGAAUAUUGCACAAUGGGGGAAACCCUGAUGCAGCGACGCCGCGUGAGUGAAGAAGUAAUUCGUUAUGUAAAGCUCUAUCAGCAGGGAAGAAAAUGACGGUACCUGAGUAAGAAGCCCCGGCUAACUACGUGCCAGCAGCCGCGGUAAUACGUAGGGGGCAAGCGUUAUCCGGAUUUACUGGGUGUAAAGGGAGCGUAGACGGCAGUGCAAGUCUGGAGUGAAAGCCCGGGGCCCAACCCCGGGACUGCUCUGGAAACUGCGUCGCUGGAGUACGGGAGGGGCAGGCGGAAUUCCUGGUGUAGCGGUGAAAUGCGUAGAUAUCAGGAGGAACACCGGCGGCGAAGGCGGCCUGCUGGACCGUGACUGACGUUGAGGCUCGAGAGCGUGGGGAGCAAACAGGAUUAGAUACCCGAGUA